ensembl:snoRNA snoRNA:Me18S-A1806
GAUGAUAUGAUGAAAACUUUACUACCCGAACCAUCGUGUGGGCCUUUGCCUCUGGUAAAGGGACGUAAUUCUGAUUCA